CUCUCUUUUUCCAACUCAUAAGAUAUCUUAGAGUGACUAAUUAUAUACGAAGCUAUCCAUUCUACAGUUCUAUUUAUCUUUUUUAAAACAUAUUUCACCUGAAGGACCAUGCCACUACUCGACAUAUUUCGAAUGUCUCAUAACAGUAAGUGACCCCCUUCACCACUGCCGAUACCAUCCUGAUUUUGAUUCAGGCCAGCCAUUAGGCCGAGCCUAGUUAUGUUCUUUGAUUUGGUUAGACUAACCCUGGCUUAUUACCAGCUUGCCAAGCGAGUGGAUAAUUAGUGUGAGGUUACAUGAAUAGAUGUGAUUGCUAUAAGAAAUUCGAUUAUUUAUCUAACUUCAUAAAUAUAUUUUCAUAUUUGGCUGCAUCACUUCUCUCGUUUUUUUUAAAUGAUAUAUUAGCGGAGAUUGGGAGUUGUCAUGCCAACGAGUUUAGGCUUGUGAUUCAAAAUUGCAUCCAUAUCCAAUUGACCAAACAUCUCCAUCGACAUUUGUACCAACAACAAAAAAAAAAGUCUCCAUGGACAUCGACUGUCGGGUUGAAUAAUCCUUUUAGAGAUUUAGAGAGAGAGAGAGAGAGAGACCCCAAAAUCAUCAUGAGUAAACCGAAUGCAAGCGUUCAGACGUCAUUAUUUUUUUUCUAUUAAUCAACUCCCUAAUGUUUCUUUCAUGUUUAUAUUGGACGAUCAGAUAAGCCCUUAUAGUUGAUGAAUCUAUACAUUUAGACUCUGUUUCUUCGGUUUUAAUUUUACGUUUUUAUUUCAAAAAAUACUGCAAUAAUAGUCUAAAUCCAUUAGUACCAUAAAUCUGUGGGAUUUAUUUGUAAACUUACCUGUUAUAUCCUGCCAUUCGGAAGAGUAACUAUAGGGAAGCAAAAGCACUUUUCAAAUAGGAAAGUAAUGAUUUGAUCAAGAGUUUUAAGAUGAGUUAAUAUUCAUUAUUUGCAGCGCCUUACAGUUUGUUAAGGUAGGUUAAUAAUUUAAUUCAUUGGCUAACGAGAAAGUAGGCGGUUUCACGAUGCCCGGAGAGGAAAGAAAUAUUUUUUAUAUAAAAGUGCAUU
rnacentral:lncRNA from 1 species